CCUACGGGAGGCUGCAGUGGGGAAUAUUGCGCAAUGGGCGAAAGCCUGACGCAGCGACGCCGCGUGAGGGAUGAAGGUCUUCGGAUCGGAAACCUCUGUCAGCAGGGAAGAACGGUCACGGGGCUAAUCAGCAGUGAAUGGACGGUACCGGCAAAGGAAGCACCGGCUACCUCCGUGCCAGCAGCCGCGGUAAGACGGAGGGUGCGAGCGUUAAGCGGAAUUACGGGGCGGAAAGCGCUCGUAGGCGGUAUGUCAAGUCAAGGGUGAAAUCCCCGCGCUCAACGUGGGAACUGCCUUUGAACCUGUCAAACUCGAGUGUGUGAGAGUAUCGUGGCUUUCCCGGUG
rnacentral:rRNA from 1 species